rnacentral:rRNA from 1 species
CCUACGGGAGGCAGCAGUGAGGAAUAUUGGUCAAUGGACGGAAGUCUGAACCAGCCAUGCCGCGUGAAGGAAGACGGCCCUAUGAGUUGUAAACUGCUUUUGUACAAGGGUAAACCUGAAUACGUGUAUUCAGCUGAAAGUACUGUACGAAUAAGGAUCGGCUAACUCCGUGCCAGCAGCCGCGGUAAUACGGAGGAUCCAAGCGUUAUCCGGAUUUAUUGGGUUUAAAGGGUGCGUAGGCGGGUUUAUAAGUUAGGGGGGAAAUGUCCGGGCUUAACUCGGGAACUGCCUCUAAUACUGUUGAUCUAGAGAGUAGAUGCGGUAGGCGGAAUGUAUGGUGUAGCGGUGAAAUGCUUAGAGAUCAUACAGAACACCGAUUGCGAAGGCAGCUUACCAAUCUAUAUCUGACGUUGAGGCACGAAAGCGUGGGGAUCAAACAGGAUUAGAUACCCGGGUAGUC